rnacentral:lncRNA from 1 species
UCUCUCUUUCUUCCUUUCUUUCUUUCUUCCUUCCUUUCUUUCUCAGCCCUCUUAACAUUCCUCACCAUAAUAUGUAUCUCUACACAUAAUCUGUAUCCUCAAAUCCCUCCUCUUUGCUAAGUAAGGAAGGCAACUAAAAUUAAAUGAUAUAUCUCCAUACCUUGCAACUAAAAGGGUCUCAACGUCCUGAGAGUCUGCUUAUAGGAUUGGGUGUUCUAUUUGCUUGACCCCGCCUGAGACAAGAACCAUAUCUAAAUCAGUCAGUAUUGAGUCCCAGGAGCUCAGAGCGGAGCUCAAGCAUGUGAAACCAUUGGGUGAUUCAAUAAUAUGUAUUUUGCCUUUGUCAAUCCCUUUCUGGCCUUUACUGGGGGAAAUCAACGUAUAAACACAGAUAUCUAAAAUUAUGCUCUGUUGGUUUUGAACUCAGUAACAAUAGUCAUGCACACCAAUGACCAGUGUGUGAGUGUUCUCAGAUUCACAUCGGUUGUGGGCAGAUGAAGCCACACAUAGCAAAGAGAUAAGGGUUGCAGCUGGGCAGCAAGGGAAUGCAUGGCCUUAAAGGACUUUCAGAAGUGUUCCCAGCUGUUCAAAGACAGGCAUGUGAGUUAUUUUGAUUAUGGAAUCUGUACCAAGUAGAGAUAUAUGCCUACCUCACCCUUCUCUAUACAUAGUCCAUAUUCUCAAACCACCCCUCUUUAGAAUUUAAGGAAUCCAACUAAAAUGAAAUAUAUAUGUGCCAUAUUUUGCCAAGUAAAAGGCUCCCACCGGCCCAACAGUCUGCUGAUAGUAUUCUUUUUUUUAAACCUGUUUAGGACUAGUUGCAUGUUGGGUGGAUGGAAUGAUAGGUAGAGAGUCCUUUUCUGGCCCAAUGCUUUGCCCAGGAGGACUGCUAGGUACUUUCUUAAACCUUGUUUCAUGUUCUCCAAAGAUCUUGCUCAUCUACUGAUGGCAGAAUACUAAUAUUCAGUAGCUGUACAUGGAAGACUGUAAAACAUGGCAAAUGGACAUCUUUAAGUCUUAUAUCUCUGAUGUGACAGUGUAGAGAUGUCAAACACUGAAAUGCAUGUGACACAAAGUCCUCUUUGUCAUUUUUGAGUAACCUCCUCAUGGUUGGUAGCUCAAUGCAAUCAAGUUGUCCUUUCUUAUAUCAUUGGCUUUACUUACCCAAAUUACUAUGUACACGGAGGUGACCCAUUGAGAAAUAUGAACAGAACAAGAAUAUUGAUGGAUGAAAUCAGUCUAAUGCUGAUGGUCCUUGGCAGGUUAGAGUCCCUGAUGAAAGCCCAUUCCUGACCGAAGGUCCUGUAAGAAGUGGGCUGGGGCAGGAGAGGCCAGUUUGGCUGCUUCACAAGCUCUGGCUUUGGUUAAGAGGUUGCAGCUGUUAGAGUCGCUGGUUGCUGUUUGGCCUCUUACAGUGUGUUCUGGGUUUGUCUUGAACCAACAACACUUUGUUCCUUUCACAGAAGAGGAAUUAAGAGGUGUAUGUGCCAGAGAAGGUGGCCUAGGCCCCUGUGAUGUGGCCAACACUGAUCCUUCAUGCUCUAGCUUGGAUGAAAAUUUACAGAGAGGUAGCCAACGUAUUCUGAAAUUGCCAUUGGCGUGGUUUCUAACACAUCAAGGAGUCAUUCGUGUAUGUGUAGCGAGUAGCCGGAUUCUGGGGCUUCUCUGUGGCCACAGGGUUUCACCAGAGUCCAGAACAGUGAGGGCAUCUCGAGAAGUGGACAGGGAGGCUCGCUGGAGCCAGGGAGGGGGUUCACAAUCAGUCCAUUUUCUCACUUAACCACAUCCUUGGCUGCUCCCAAGCCUCCAGAAAUAGCUGAAGCUUUGGGGACAGUGGAGGACAGGGGCAUUUGUAGCAGCUCCUUGCCAAAGGGUGACAGCCCUGCUUGUCACAGCCCGGCCUGGCCUGUGGGCACAAGGACAGCAUGUUCUAUUCCUUCUACCAGACUCAUCCACCUGGCUUGCCCCAGUGAUGAUUCUGACCCAGCCUUGCAUCUUUACUACAGUGUUUGGAUAAAGAUAGACUAGGAGUUUUUAGAGCAUAGAGAUUAUAUAAAAGAGUGAUGUCUUCUCUGCCUUCAUUUCCUGAGGCCACGGGGUUCCUGCAUAGAUCCCCAAACCUCUGUGAGAACAGGAGAGAUGAAUGGGGUGGUCCUUGCCGAGCCCAAACUCCACGUAUCAGCAGUCCCUUUAUGUCACCCAGAUAUUCAACAUAGCUCAUUUGAAGUCAGUCUUUUAAAGAACAAAUAAAUGAGGAAGUAGGUGUUAAGGGCCCCUCAUCUUGAUGCUAUUGUGAGGCAAGUAUAACCUACAGCCAUUGUGGUGUCACACACCUACAAUCCUAUCAUUUGGGAAGUUGAAGUGAGAGAGAUGCCAAGAGUUCAAGGCACACAUGGGGUACUUCUUAAAG